rnacentral:rRNA from 1 species
UACAGAUGGUGCGAGCGUUGUUCGGAAUUAUUGGGCGUAAAGGGCGCGUAGGCGGUGCGGUAAGUCACCUGUGAAAUCUCCUGGCUCAACUGGGAGCUUGCAGGCGAAACUGCCGUGCUGGAGUGUGGGAGAGGUGCGUGGAAUUCCUGGUGUAGCGGUGAAAUGCGUAGAUAUCAGGAGGAACACCUGUGGCGAAAGCGGCGCACUGGACCACAACUGACGCUGAGGCGCGAAAGCUAGGGGAGCAAACAGG